UACCAUUAUUACUGUUAUUAUUAUUAUCAGAGCUUUGCGCAGUGGCAGUAUCGUAGCCAAUGAGGUUUAUUCAAGGUGCCAUUACUGCUAAUUGAAAACUAUUAUUAUCAGAGAAAACAGGUU
rnacentral:snRNA from 1 species